rnacentral:rRNA from 1 species
CGCGUAGGCGGGCGGUUUCGUCGGGGUGAAAUCCUGCCGCCCAACGGCAGAACUGCCCCCGAUACGGGCCGUCUCGAGGGAGGUAGGGGCAUGUGGAACUUCCGGUGGAGCGGUGAAAUGCGUAGAUAUCUGGAGGAACACCGGUGGCGAAGGCGGCAUCCUGGACCAACAUUGACGCUGAGGAGCGAAAGCCAGGGGAGCAAACG